AUUGAUCCCUGCUUCUCCUCCUCUUUCUUCGCCAAAAUUCUCCUCCUCAACGUUCAGCACCUUUCUUCGCUGACUCCGCUCGAAAAACCCAAAUAAAAAAAAAACUGCAAUCUAGAGAGGUUCAAGGCAGUAGUUUUCUGGGUUUUCUUGCAAAUUGGCUGAGGAGAUACAAGCUUUGAUUUUGGCUGGUGUCGACGGCGGCGGCGGCGGCGGCGGCUGCGGCUGCGGAGGAGGAGACAAGGCCCAUCCCUCUAACUUUUUAGCACACCAGGCAUAUUCAACAAUAACGGCCUGAAUCAGCGCGGGAUUUGGUAUCCGUGUUCUGGGCUAUCCAGCUCACACUGUUCGGGUCAAGUGUAAAAUGUCAGACUCCGGCGAAGCUCCACAACAAAAACAAGAAGUUUGUAAUUUCUUUAAAAAGCCAUCCAAAGGUAAAAAUAUUAGAAAACGCCCUGCUGUUGACGAAGAUAAUGCUGAUGAAGAUUCAAAGGAUGAAAGCUCCGUGGUUUUUAAUAAGAAGAAGCCAGCAGCAGCUGACAACAAAUUGCACUUCUCUACUGGAUCCUCCAAGCGUUCUAUCGAGGCAGAAACUAAUGCAGACUCAAAAACCCCAUUUUUUCAUUUUGAAUCUUCUAAGGAGAUUCAGGUUCAUAAUGAUAGUAGAGCAACAGCAACAUUAGAAACUGAGACCGAGUUCUCAAGAGAUGCUCGGGCAAUCAGGGAGAGAGUUCUCAAGCAAGCAGAGGAGGCAUUGCAAGGAAAAGGUACUAGUGAUGAAAAAGUAUAUAAAGGAAUGCAUGGAUACACAGAUUACAAAGCUGGGUUUCGAAGAGAGCAUACUGUCUCUGGUGAGAAAGCUGGUGGUUCACAUGGACCUCUUCGAGCAUCUGCCCACAUUAGAGUAUCAGCAAGGUUUGACUAUCAGCCAGAUAUCUGCAAGGAUUAUAAAGAGACAGGUUAUUGUGGAUAUGGGGAUGCAUGCAAGUUUAUGCAUGACCGCGGUGAUUAUAAAUCAGGAUGGCAACUAGAGAAGGAGUGGGAUGAAGCAGAGAAGAUCAGGAAAAGGAAUUUGGCUUUGGGAAUUGAUAAUGCGGAUGAGGAUACUGCUGAGAAGAGUGAUGAAGAUGAAGAUGAUGCCUUGCCCUUUGCUUGUUUCAUUUGUAGGCAACCUUUUGUGGAUCCUGUGGUGACCAAGUGCAAGCACUACUUCUGCGAGCAUUGUGCAUUAAAGCAUCAUGCAAGAAACAAGAAGUGCUUCGUGUGCAACCAGCCAACCAAUGGGAUAUUCAACACAGCAUUUGAGAUACGCAAGAGAAUGUCAGCUGAAGGGAAAUGAUGUGUCUGAGCCAUUUGCCUUGUGCAUCAUGAUCUAAUCCUAUAUAUGCUAUGAUUAUUUUUCUGUUCUAGUAUAGUUGCUAGAUCCUGGUCCCUAAAAAUCGAACCUUCAGAACCAUAUGCUGUAGGGUCACUAAGGGUUUCCACCGGAUAUGAGCGCCUGCUGUAGUAGCACCAUGGGCAUUUUCCAAUUCAUAUAGAGCACUGCCUGGGGGGAAGGAAGGAUGCGCAGGGGAUGACCUCUCAUCUUGUUGGAGGAUAAAUAUUUUACCCAUGGAAGAGUACAGCUGCUUCUGCGCCCCAAGGAAGAAAAAUAUUGUCAGUACAGGGGGAUGGAAUAAAAAAGUCAGGAUUGAAGACAUUGGGUGUGUUAGUCAUAUUUGUACUACAUUACUUCUACAUAAUUUAAUCCUUUGCUUUUUAAAUCUGGUAGUGAAAUCUUUAUUUACGUCUAAAUGUAGUACUUCCUUUAACUGGUUUCUUUAGGAAUAAGAAGUGUUAACAGUCUCCUUUCUUGAUUA